AGAAGACUCUUCUGAGAUUGAUGUUGUCACUGUCAGUGACGAUGAGUCUGCUCUGCAAAAGCGCCCUGGAGAGGCGCUUCAUUCAGGUCCAGCAGAGAAACAGAGCAGGCUGCUGACCUCCAGAGCAGGUGAAAGUCUGCAGACAGCGCCAAGAGACCUCGAGGAAAGAGGUUCACCUGCUUUGGAGCCUGUUUAUGGCGAAGGCUCA